rnacentral:rRNA from 1 species
GGAAGUGCGGCAGCUAUGAUGCAGUCGAACGCGUCUCCGUUAAUGAUUGUUAGGUGCUUGCACUGUGAAAGAUUUAGCAUUGAGACGAGUGGCGAACUGGUGAGUAACACGUGGGUAACCUGCCCUUGAAGUAGGGGAUAACACUUGGAAACAGGUGCUAAUACCGUAUAACAACCAAAACCACCUGGUUUUGGUUUAAAAGACGGCUUCGGUUGUCACUUUAGGAUGGACCCGCGGCGUAUUAGCUUGUUGGUAAGGUAACGGCCUACCAAGGCGAUGAUACGUAGCCGACCUGAGAGGGUAAUCGGCCACAUUGGGACUGAGACACGGCCCAAACUCCUACGGGAGGCAGCAGCAGGGAAUCUUCCACAAUGGACGAAAGUCUGAUGGAGCAACGCCGCGUGAGUGAUGAAGGGUUUCGGCUCGUAAAACUCUGUUGUUGGAGAAGAACAAGUGUCAGAGUAACUGUUGACAUCUUGACGGUAUCCAACCAGAAAGCCACGGCUAACUACGUGCCAGCAGCCGCGGUAAUACGUAGGUGGCAAGCGUUGUCCGGAUUUAUUGGGCGUAAAGCGAGCGCAGGCGGUUUUUUAGGUCUGAUGUGAAAGCCUUCGGCUUAACCGGAGAAGUGCAUCGGAAACUGGGAGACUUGAGUGCAGAAGAGGACAGUGGAACUCCAUGUGUAGCGCUGAAAUGCAUAGAUAUAUGCAAGAACACCAGUGGCGAAGGCGGCUGUCUGGUCUGUAACUGACGCUGAGGCUCGAAAGCAUGGGUAGCGAACAGGAUUAGAUACCCUGGUAGUCCAUGCCGUAAACCAUGAGUGCUAAGUGUUGGAGGGUUUCCGCCCUUCAGUGCUGCAGCUAACGCAUUAGGCACUCCGCCUGGAGAGUACGACCGCAAGGUUGAAACUCACACGAAUUGACGGAGGUCCCGCACAAGCGGUGGAGCAUGUGGUUUAAUUCGAUGCUACGCUAACAACCUUACCAGGUCUUGACAUCUUCUGACAACUUAGGAAUAUUACGUCGUUCCCUUACGAGAACGGAAUGAACCCGUGAUGCAAGGUUUUCCCUCGCUCCGGGUCUGGGGAUGUUGGGGUUAAGUCCCCCCAACAACCGCAACCCUUAUUUUAAAUGCCCAAUUUUCGUUGGGGACUUCUAGUAAAAAAUUCCCGGGGGAAAAACCGGGAGAAAGGGGGGGGAAAAAUUUCAAAUCCCCUUGCCCCUUUGUGAACCCGGGGGCCCCCACGUUUCUUCAAUUGGAAAGUUUAAAAGAAAACCCGGAAAAUCGGGACA